CUUGGCUCAGGGGUGAGGUUACAGGCAAUAGUCACUGGCACAGAAGGAAGAAAGGUGUUUCCUUCUUGUGAAGCCCAAAGCAGUGACAGGACCAUCCUCUUUGUGGAAGUUUCUGGCCAUCUUCUUACAAAUGAAGUGACGCAGAUGCAAGGCGCUGCAAGGCCCACCUCCUCCUGCUCUGACAGGCAGACAGGAAACCAAAGCCCCUAUCUGAGCAGCCUCUGUCUCUCCCAUUCACCUCCAGCUUCCUAUGUGGACCUUUGCCUUUUCCUUCUUGGAUGGUGGAAACUCCUCCAGAUGUCAAGACUUGCUGUGAAUAAAGUUUUAAGAGGAGGUCAUGUA